GCUUGACUAGCUGAGAGAGGUGCAUGGCCGUCGUCAGUUCGUACUGUGAAGCAUCCUGUUAAGUCAGGCAACGAGCGAGACCCACGCCAACAGUUGCCAGCAUGUCCUCCGGGAUGAUGGGGACACUGUUGGGACCGCCUCUGCUAAAGAGGAGGAAGGAAUGGGCAACGGUAGGUCAGCAUGCCCCGAAUUAUCCGGGCUACACGCGGGCUACAAUGGUCAGGACAAUGGGUAUCAACACCGAAAGGUGAAGGCAAUCUCCUAAACCUGUCCUUAGUUCGGAUUGUGGGCUGCAACUCGCCCACAUGAAGCUGGAAUCUGUAGUAAUCGCGUCUCAACAUGGCGCGGUGAAUAUGUCCCUGCUCCUU
rnacentral:rRNA from 1 species